rnacentral:lncRNA from 1 species
UUGUCUUUAACCAUUGGCGCCGACGUUGGCAUUACCUCCACCGCGAACAGCCGACGACUAUACUCCUUCCACCCUUCAUCCACCUCCUAAAAAUUACACAGUCUCCUCCAUAGACCUGAUUGUGCAAAUGAGUCACCAAAUUGAGAAAGCCUACAGUCGGCCACAACUCCCUUUUUUACUACACCUAUGUUGGCAGCCACCAAAUGGACUCUUCUCGAGUAUCCCAUUUCAAUUUGAUGCAUCCAGCACGCUCCAAGCCAUGAAUUCAAUUGGAAAAAAUGCAAUUCGGGUCCUAAAAACUAUCGAAAACACACCAAUUGAAUUUCCAAUUCGUGACUCCCACGAAUUCAAAUAAUCCCACCGAACCCGAAGACCAACAUUUGAAGUUUGAUAGUGCAAAAACUUCUCACCAAAUUUCCACUAAAAACUAAAUUUAGCUAGAGACUUGAGAUAGCGGGAGAGAGAUGUGAGGACUUUGACGAGAAGAGUAAAAUUUGGGCCAAGAUUUGAAGUUGAAAUCAUACCAUUAGAGCUGGUUGUGGCAGUCGUGUCUAAUUAGUUUUUUGGUCCUUCUUAGGCGAGUCUUUGGAAUAUGAAGUUUCGGCCUCUAUAUUAGUUUGGUGUUGGACAAGUGAUAAUGGUAUCGACAAGUGGAGCUCUGGGUUGAAAAGCCAAUUUCUGUUGGUGCCGGUGGUAAGAGACGAGUGGG